UUGAACGCUGGCGGCAUGCCUUACACAUGCAAGUCGAACGGCAGCACGGACUUCGGUCUGGUGGCGAGUGGCGAACGGGUGAGUAAUAUAUCGGAACGUGCCCUGGAGUGGGGGAUAACUAGUCGAAAGACUAGCUAAUACCGCAUACGAUCUAUGGAUGAAAGUGGGGGGAUCGCAAGACCUCAUGCUCGUGGAGCGGCCGAUAUCUGAUUAGCUAGUUGGUGGGGUAAAAGCCUACCAAGGCAUCGAUCAGUAGCUGGUCUGAGAGGACGACCAGCCACACUGGGACUGAGACACGGCCCAGACUCCUACGGGAGGCAGCAGUGGGGAAUUUUGGACAAUGGGGGCAACCCUGAUCCAGCAAUGCCGCGUGAGUGAAGAAGGCCUUCGGGUUGUAAAGCUCUUUUGUCAGGGAAAAGAAACGGUCCGGGCUAAUAUCCUGGGCUAAUGACGGUACCUGAAGAAUAAGCACCGGCUAACUACGUGCCAGCAGCCGCGGUAAUACAUAGGGUGCGAGCGUUAAUCGGAAUUACUGGGCGUAAAGCGUGCGCAGGCGGUUGUGCAAGACAGAUGUGAAAUCCCCGGGCUCAACCUGGGAAUUGCAUUUGUGACUGCACGGCUAGAGUGUGUCAGAGGGGGGUAGAAUUCCACGUGUAGCAGUGAAAUGCGUAGAGAUGUGGAGGAAUACCGAUGGCGAAGGCAGCCCCCUGGGAUAACACUGACGCUCAUGCACGAAAGCGUGGGGAGCAAACAGGAUUAGAUACCCUGGUAGUCCACGCCCUAAACGAUUGUCAACUAGUUGUCGGGUCUUAAUUGACUUGGUAACGCAGCUAACGCGUGAAGUUGACCGCCUGGGGAGUACGGUCGCAAGAUUAAAACUCAAAGGAAUUGACGGGGACCCGCACAAGCGGUGGAUGAUGUGGAUUAAUUCGAUGCAACGCGAAAAACCUUACCUACCCUUGACAUGGCAGGAAUCCCGGAGAGAUUUGGGAGUGCUCGAAAGAGAACCUGCACACAGGUGCUGCAUGGCUGUCGUCAGCUCGUGUCGUGAGAUGUUGGGUUAAGUCCCGCAACGAGCGCAACCCUUGUCAUUAGUUGCUACGAAAGGGCACUCUAAUGAGACUGCCGGUGACAAACCGGAGGAAGGUGGGGAUGACGUCAAGUCCUCAUGGCCCUUAUGGGUAGGGCUUCACACGUCAUACAAUGGUACAUACAGAGGGCCGCCAACCCGCGAGGGGGAGCUAAUCCCAGAAAGUGUAUCGUAGUCCGGAUUGGAGUCUGCAACUCGACUCCAUGAAGUUGGAAUCGCUAGUAAUCGCGGAUCAGCAUGUCGCGGUGAAUACGUUCCCGGGUCUUGUACACACCGCCCGUCACACCAUGGGAGCGGGUUUUACCAGAAGUAGGUAGCUUAACCGCAAGGAGGGCGCUUACCACGGUAGGAUUCGUGACUGGGGUG
rnacentral:rRNA from 1 species